CAGGGUUUCUCUGUGUAGCCGUGGCUGUCCUGGAACUGGCUCUGUAGAUCAGGAUGGCCUCAAACUCACAGAGAUCUGCCUGUCUCUGCCUCCUGAGUGCUGGGAGUAAGGGCAUGCACCACUACUUCCCAGCGACCUUAAACUUAAAAAAAAAAACAAAAAAAAACCUUUUUUUUUCUAUGCAUCUGACUGUUUUGCCACAUCAUUAGGGAGUGGAGACAGGAAGAUAUGGCUGGAUGGAAGGAGGAACAAAAGGAGGAAGAGACAGGAAUUCAGAGCCUUUGCUUCUGAGGAUUCAUGGAAACAGGAUUGCCAUUUCAUCUGGGUAGAGGGUCAAACAACGAAGAAAAAGCGCAAUAAAGUCAGCCACCAUAGACACAGUGACAGUGCAGAUUUUCGGCACGUGACUGCCCUCUUGUGACCAGAUGCUGCAACUGUCAGCUAUCGCCCUGGAGGAGAGAAACGUCUUCCUGGCUACGAAUCUACUGUGUUCCAGAUUCCCGUGCGUCUCAGAUCUAAUCCUCAUCCUGUGGGAUGGGCGUUCUUAUUCUAUUUACGCAUGUGCAUGCUUAAGCCGAGGCUUCCAGAGAACAUCGAGCGGUAAAAAACCGGGCGGUUGUUAAGAGGGCCAACUUAGGCAGCAUUAAUGCAAAUGUCUGCUACUGCCUCAAGGCCUUGGGAAAAUGAUCAAACUCUCUGUUCCCAUUUCACUUCUGUUGCUGUGACCAAAAAAGCAAUUUAUGGAAGAAAGAGUUUAUUCAGCUUACAGCCCCAGGUUAGACCGUUACUUUAGGGAAGUCAAGGCAAGAACUUGAAGCAUUGUACCCACAGUCAAGAGCAGAAAGAAAAUAAACGCAUGGUUCUUG
rnacentral:lncRNA from 1 species